rnacentral:rRNA from 1 species
UACGUAGGGUGCAAGCGUUAAUCGGAAUUACUGGGCGUAAAGCGUGCGCAGGCGGUUCCGCAAGUCAGAUGUGAAAUCCCCGGGCUCAACCUGGGAACUGCAUUUGAAACUACGGAGCUAGAGUGUGUCAGAGGGGGGUAGAAUUCCACGUGUAGCAGUGAAAUGCGUAGAGAUGUGGAGGAAUACCGAUGGCGAAGGCAGCACUCUGGGACGUGACUGACGCUGAGACGCGAAAGCGUGGGGAGCAAACAGG